CUGAGCGAUAUAGAAAACUAAAACAGAGCUAGAAAAGAGAUUGAGUCGAUUUUUUAAAURGUGAAAGUGAAAACUGAAACUCUUAUGAGUUUUGUACUUGGCCUACACUAAACUCUUCUCACUUUUUCGCACAAGCUUAACUAAAACUUAAAGCUUACAUUUGAAGACAUUGCAGAUUUAGAGCUUACAUUAUAAAAUGUUAGAAAAGGAAGCAAACAAAGCAUAAAGUAUGCCUUAAUAUAGGCAACAAAAGUCAGAUCCAUUUGUAUUAAAACUGGACCUGAACCAGGAACCAAGUCGAAUGCCGAGGCCUGCAGUCUCACCAUCCAGCGGAAACAAACAAAACACAGGCUGUUCUUUUCAAUGUCGUAAUGUCGGUCAUGUGCGCUGGUGCUACGCUGAUAAUAUUCAUGGUGUCCAGUGUUGAGAGGUACCUGGCCAUAGAACACACUCACUUCUACCUGGAAAACGUCACAACCAAGAAAAUCAUU